GAGUGGGUUGGGGGGGGGGAAUUACCUGGACGCUGGUGAAGGGAUCUUGAUUCAAGGAAUUGUAAUUGUUCUUCGUAGCCUUGGAUCAAACCUUAUAACCUCCUAUUCUUCAAGCCUUGUAUAACCCCCUGUGGGUUUAGCGCUUCCUAUGAAUAAUGUGAUAUGGGAAGUAAAUUUUGUUAGGCUUGGAGCCUACCGGCUACGCAUGCUUCAUUCUGGCUGUAUAUAAACUGUACUCUUAACAAUCAAGACCACUUUACUUCCUAAAUUAACGAAUAAAACAAAUUCAGUGUGUACAUACUUCUGAGUGUAUAUACCAUAUUACAUCUGUAGUAUAUACGGCAUUAAGCGCAUAGUGCAUCUGAAUUUAGUGUCAGCGUUUUGGUUUGUGAUUCGAUGUUUAAGGAGAAUUAGUUUAAGAACUACUCGAGGGUCAAGGCCACAAAGACACUCACCACCAGACAAGAUUAUUUUAAUUCUGAGACAGAGAUUAAAUUAAACUAUGUGUAUAUACAGUGAUAAACAUAAACUAGGUGUAUAUAGCCUCUGGUGUGUUAUUAUUAUUAUUAUUAUUAUAAUCAAGGGGAAGCGCUAAACCCGGAGGAUUAUACAGCGCCUGGGGGGGGAUGUGGAAGGCAUUCAGGCUUAAUUCGGGGAACUGGAGCACAGAUCCAAUUCCUAAAUCAAGAGCCCCUCACCAACAUCAAGGAACCUUCCUUGAGGGGUCUGGUGUGUUGAGUAUCUCGAACACUGAGUCAGGUUGGGCGGUGCUUCAGUGAGCAGCAAUUUCAGAGUGGUGUGCACAAACUCAACCAGCUUGGCAGCAAGUGUAUGCUCUCAGUUUUUGUAUUUUUAUUUAAGUUCCGUGAGAUGUUUCCCACGUUACGGACACUACAGCUUCAGGAUGUGUGAGCAAACAUCAGUCUGGCCGGGAGAUAACAUCAUUAGUAUUUAAAAUUGGUUAAUAAACGUACCAUUGGUAUUUUUGCAAUGAGAAACUGUUAACCGGUAAGCAUCAACAUUAUACAGAAAAGUCCGGCAGAACAAUAAUAAGCCUCUGCCGCCAGCUGUCUUAUAAAGGAUUCGCCAUAUUUUCUUUAGCUACUUGGUCAUGUUCCACUCAUCCCCCGAUCCGGGGGGGGGGGGCCAUCACCGGGUCACCAUCUGGAAAAGACCCGGGCCGGGACAGUAACGGCGAACCACCUACUAUUACUACUACUACAGGUUCCAGUCGCUACGAGGCUAGAUAUUUAUCCCAAGAGAGCAUUGAACGUUUAAGAUACUGAAAUGGAGUAGGACCGUCAGUCUGGGGAAACAGUCUGCAUAACUCACGUUGGAUGAGGCGGUGGUCGGUUGGAUAACGUGCCUGUGCAGAUGUGCGCUGUGUAUGGCCAUCUAAAAAAAUAUAAAAAAACUUGGAUGAAAAGAUAAUGAUGGGAUGUCCCAGGAUAGGGAGGAUGGGA